rnacentral:rRNA from 1 species
UCUGGUUGAUCCUGCCAGCAAUCAUAUGCUUGUCUCAAAGAUUAAGCCAUGCAAGUCUAAGUAUAAGUGUUUAUACGGCGAAACUGCGAAUGGCUCAUUAUAUCAGUUAUAAUCUACUUGAUCGAUUCUGUUACUUGGAUAACUGUAGGAAUUCUAGAGCUAAUACAUGCGAAAGGGCCGUACUGGGGGCAACUCUGGGAGGGCCGUGUUUACAAAGCGAGGAACCAGGAUGGGGCAUUCAACUUGGGGGCAACUCCAGGGUCUCAUAUAACAGACGAAUCAUUGUAAUCUCAUGAACCGAGGGUGAAGGCCUUUGGUGAUGCAAACGAGUAACUGCCCUAUCAACUUUCAACCGUAGUGUAGGGGACUACGGUGGUUGUAACGGGUACGGGGAAUUAGGGUUCGAUUCCGGAGAGGCAGCCUGAGAAACGGCUACCACUUCCAAGGAAGACAGCAGGCGCGUAAAUUAUCCAAUCCCAAUUCGGGGAGAUAGUGACAAGAAAUACUGGUGUAGGGCCUUUUGGGUUCUACUAUCGGAAUGAGUACAAUUUAAAACCAUUAGCGAGGAACAAUUGGAGGGCAAGUCUGGUGCCAGCAGCCGCGGUAAUUCCAGCUCCAAGAGUGUAUAUUAAAGUUGUUGCGGUUAAAAAGCUCGUAGUUGGACUGCAAGUUGAAGUGUGAAGUCCCCGGGGACGUUGUUCUCGGGAUCAAGGCUUUUGCUUUUCUUCUAGGAAAUUUGACGCAAAAACACGGGGUUCUCCUCGUGGUCAGGUUAGUUUUACUUUGAAUGAAUUAGGGUGUUCAAAGCAGGCGAAUCGCCGUGAAUACAUUAGCAUGGGAUAAUAAAAUAUGACAUUGGUCUAAUACUUAUUGGUUUCUGAGGCCAGAGUAAUGAUUAAAAGGGACAGUUGGGGUCGCUUGUAUUCAGUGGUCAGAGGUGAAAUUCUAGGACCCACUGAGGACAAACAAAUGCGAAGGCAUUCGACAAGGAUGUUUUCAUUAAUCAAGAACGAAAGUUGUGGGAUCGAAGAUGAUCAGAUACCGUCGUAGUCACAACCGUAAACUAUGUUGACUUAGGAUUGGGGGAUGUUAAUAGAUGACUCUCCUAGCACUAUGUGCGAAAGCAUAAGUAUCCAAACUCCGGGGGGAGUAUGGUCGCAAGGCUGAAACUUAAAUGAAUUGACGGAAGGACACCACCAGGAGUGGAACCUGCGGCUUAAUUUGACUCAACACGGGGAAACUCACCCGGUCCGGACAUUGUAAGGAUUGACAGAUUGAUAGCUCUUUCUUGAUUUGAUGGGAGCCGGUGCAUGGCCGUUUUUAGUUGGUGGAGUGAUUUGUCUGGUUAAGUCCGAUAACGAACGAGACCUCAAUUUGCUAAAUAGGAUGCUUCACAGGGUGGUCUUCUGGCUUGUCGGGUUUCGGCUCGGCUUGUUGGGGGGUUGCCGUUUAGUUGUGGGGCAAAUUUUA